rnacentral:rRNA from 1 species
GAUGAACGCUGGCGGCGUGCCUAAUACAUGCAAGUCGAGCGAACGGACGAGAAGCUUGCUUCUCUGAUGUUAGCGGCGGACGGGUGAGUAACACGUGGAUAACCUACCUAUAAGACUGGGAUAACUUCGGGAAACCGGAGCUAAUACCGGAUAAUAUUUUGAACCGCAUGGUUCAAAAGUAAAAGACGGUCUUGCUGUCACUUAUAGAUGGAUCCGCGCUGCAUUAGCUAGUUGGUAAGGUAACGGCUUACCAAGGCAACGAUGCAUAGCCGACCUGAGAGGGUGAUCGGCCACACUGGAACUGAGACACGGUCCAGACUCCUACGGGAGGCAGCAGUAGGGAAUCUUCCGCAAUGGGCGAAAGCCUGACGGAGCAAAGCCGCGUGAGUGAUGAAGGUCUUCGGAUCGUAAAACUCUGUUAUUAGGGAAGAACAUAUGUGUAAGUAACUGUGCACAUCUUGACGGUACCUAAUCAGAAAGCCACGGCUAACUACGUG